rnacentral:piRNA from 1 species
UGCCCAGAGAAGAUGCGCUGUCUAGGUA